CCCACUAAGGCAGAGUGACUCGCCCAAGGUCACACAGAUCCUAGGUAUUCUUCCGAAGCCAGAGGGAAGGCCCGACGGGGCUGUUUCAAGUACACUAUUCCAUAUAUAUAUAUAAUCUCAUCGAUGGCUAGAAGUCUCCUUAAAUAAGCUCGGGACCCCGAGGAAGAAGGACUUCGCCGAAGGGGACGCGUAAUGUAGACGUCUUAGAUGAUACUACUGCUCUUUGAACAGUUCUAUCAGCCACAAUCUCCAGGGGCCUGCUUUUCAUCUCACGUUACACAAAUCAACCAGACAUCUGUCUCUGUUUCGGCCACCUCGGCUCAUGUCCCCACCUUCGCCUCUUGCCUCUUCUUAUCUCUGCCAAAGAGCUCAAUCAUCCUUCCUUACACUGAAAAUAGCUAGGUGGCACAGUGGAAAGAUGCCAGGCUUGGUGACCUGAGUUCAGAUCCUCCCUCAGAGACU